rnacentral:rRNA from 1 species
UACGUAGGGGGCAAGCGUUGUCCGGAAUCAUUGGGCGUAAAGCGCGUGUAGGCGGCCUAGUAAGUCCGUUCUGAAAGCCCGGGGCUGAACCCCGGGAGGCGGAUGGAUACUGCUGGGCUCGAGUCCGGAAGAGGCAAGUGGAAUUCCCGGUGUAGCGGUGAAAUGCGCAGAUAUCGGGAGGAACACCAAUGGCGAAGGCAGCUUGCUGGGACGGUACUGACGCUGAGACGCGAAAGCGUGGGGAGCAAACAGG